rnacentral:rRNA from 1 species
UACAGAGGUCUCAAGCGUUGUUCGGAUUCAUUGGGCGUAAAGGGUGUGUAGGUGGCGCGCUAAGUCGGGUGUGAAAUUUCGGAGCUUAACUCCGAAACUGCAUUCGAUACUGGCGUGCUUGAGGACUGGAGAGGAGACUGGAAUUCAUGGUGUAGCAGUGAAAUGCGUAGAGAUCAUGAGGAAGACCGGUGGCGAAAGCGCUCUGCUAGGCCGCAACUGACACUGAGGGACGAAAGCUAGGGGAGCGAAUGGG